ACGGAAGGCAGCAGUGGGGAAUAUUGCACAAUGGGGGAAACCCUGAUGCAGCGACGCCGCGUGAGCGAAGAAGUAUUUCGGUAUGUAAAGCUCUAUCAGCAGGGAGGAAAAUGACGGUACCUGACUAAGAAGCCCCGGCUAACUACGUGCCAGCAGCCGCGGUAAUACGUAGGGGGCAAGCGUUAUCCGGAUUUACUGGGGGUAAAGGGAGCGUAGACGGCAAGGUAAGUCUGAAGUGAAAUGCCGGGGCUCAACCCCGGAACUGCUUUGGAAACUAUCUCGCUCGAGUACCGGAGGGGUAAGCGGAAUUCCUAGUGUAGCGGUGAAAUGCGUAGAUAUUAGGAAGAACACCAGUGGCGAAGGCGGCCUGCUGGACUGGAACUGACGCUGAGGCACGAAAGCGUGGGGAGCAAACAGGAUUAGAUACCCUGGUA
rnacentral:rRNA from 1 species